UCGGGGAACGAUAACGGCGUCGAGCGGCGGACGGGUGAGUAAUGCCUGGGAAAUUGCCCUGAUGUGGGGGAUAACCAUUGGAAACGAUGGCUAAUACCGCAUAAUAGCUUCGGCUCAAAGAGGGGGACCUUCGGGCCUCUCGCGUCAGGAUAUGCCCAGGUGGGAUUAGCUAGUUGGUGAGGUAAUGGCUCACCAAGGCGACGAUCCCUAGCUGGUCUGAGAGGAUGAUCAGCCACACUGGAACUGAGACACGGUCCAGACUCCUACGGGAGGCAGCAGUGGGGAAUAUUGCACAAUGGGCGCAAGCCUGAUGCAGCCAUGCCGCGUGUAUGAAGAAGGCCUUCGGGUUGUAAAGUACUUUCAGCAGUGAGGAAGGUGGUAGCGUUAAUAGCGUUAUCAUUUGACGUUAGCUGCAGAAGAAGCACCGGCUAACUCCGUGCCAGCAGCCGCGGUAAUACGGAGGGUGCGAGCGUUAAUCGGAAUUACUGGGCGUAAAGCGCAUGCAGGUGGUUUGUUAAGUCAGAUGUGAAAGCCCGGGGCUCAACCUCGGAAUUGCAUUUGAAACUGGCAGACUAGAGUACUGUAGAGGGGGGUAGAAUUUCAGGUGUAGCGGUGAAAUGCGUAGAGAUCUGAAGGAAUACCGGUGGCGAAGGCGGCCCCCUGGACAGAUACUGACACUCAGAUGCGAAAGCGUGGGGAGCAAACAGGAUUAGAUACCCUGGUAGUCCACGCCGUAAACGAUGUCUACUUGGAGGUUGUGGCCUUGAGCCGUGGCUUUCGGAGCUAACGCGUUAAGUAGACCGCCUGGGGAGUACGGUCGCAAGAUUAAAACUCAAAUGAAUUGACGGGGGCCCGCACAAGCGGUGGAGCAUGUGGUUUAAUUCGAUGCAACGCGAAGAACCUUACCUACUCUUGACAUCCAUAGAACUUUCCAGAGAUGGAUUGGUGCCUUCGGGAACUAUGAGACAGGUGCUGCAUGGCUGUCGUCAGCUCGUGUUGUGAAAUGUUGGGUUAAGUCCCGCAACGAGCGCAACCCUUAUCCUUGUUUGCCAGCGAGUAAUGUCGGGAACUCCAGGGAGACUGCCGGUGAUAAACCGGAGGAAGGUGGGGACGACGUCAAGUCAUCAUGGCCCUUACGAGUAGGGCUACACACGUGCUACAAUGGCGCAUACAGAGGGCAGCCAACUUGCGAAAGUGAGCGAAUCCCAAAAAGUGCGUCGUAGUCCGGAUUGGAGUCUGCAACUCGACUCCAUGAAGUCGGAAUCGCUAGUAAUCGUAGAUCAGAAUGCUACGGUGAAUACGUUCCCGGGCCUUGUACACACCGCCCGUCACACCAUGGGAGUGGGCUGCAAAAGAAGUGGGUAG
rnacentral:rRNA from 1 species